AUCCCGGAAGGACGACCAGUGGCGAAAGCGUUAACUAGAACGAAUCUGACGGUAAGGAACGAAGGCUAGGGUAGCAAACCGGAUUAGAUACCCGGGUAGUCCUAGCUGUAAACAUUGCCCAUUUGAUGUUGCUUUCCCGUUGAGGGAAGGCAGUGUCGGAGCGAAGGUGUUAAAUGGGCCGCUUGGGAAGUAUGGUCGCAAGACUGAAACUUAAAGGAAUUGGCGGGGGAGCACCGCAACGGGAGGAAUGUGCGGUUUAAUUGGGUUCAACGCCGGAAAACUCACCGGGAACGACCUGUGCAUGAGAGUCAACUUGACGAGCUUACUCGAUAGCAGGAGAGGUGGUGCAUGGCCGUCGUCAGCUCGUACCGUAGGGCGUUCACUUAAGUGUGAUAACGAGCGAGACCCACAUCUUUAAUUGCAAAUGUAUAUGGGAAUAUGCAUGCACUUUAGAGAAACCGCCAGCGCUAAGCUGGAGGAAGGAGUGGUCGACGGCAGGUCAGUACGCCCCGAAUUUCCCGGGCUACACGCGCAUUACAAAG
rnacentral:rRNA from 1 species